rnacentral:misc_RNA from 1 species
UUGUUGUCACCUGCAACGGCAGAACGACCAGCGAACUUGUGAAAACACACUCGGGGCGCCCAGCGUGCCCCUCGCUGCCGGGCCGCGCUCGUAACGGGCGCGAUCCCGGCACAAUAACGAACCCCGGCACGAUCUGUGCCAAGGAAAAUUGACGAAGACAGAGUCCCAUGCCGCCCCGUUCUGCGGGCGCGCGCUCGGGACGGAGCUUCCUUCACGAAACACGACUCUCGGCAACGGAUAUCUCGGCUCUCGCAUCGAUGAAGAACGUAGCGAAAUGCGAUACUUGGUGUGAAUUGCAGAAUCCCGUGAACCAUCGAGUCUUUGAACGCAAGUUGCGCUUGAAGCCAUUAGGCUGAAGGCACGUCUGCCUGGGCGUCUCGCAACACGUCGCCCCCGACCCUCCGUCUCUCUUCGAGCGCCGGAGCCCCGGGGGCAGAUGAUGGCCUCCUGUGCGCAAAGGCGCGCAGUUGGCCUAAAAGCAGAGUUCCUGACAACGGAUCGUCACGGCACGUGGUGGUUGAACAACCCCGUCGCGUUCUGCUGUUGGCGCACCCGUUGAACGGCGAAGCUACGACCCUUGCGCGUCGCCUCUCCGACGGCGCAUCGACCGCCACCCC